rnacentral:rRNA from 1 species
UGGGGAAUUUUGCACAAUGGGGGAAACCCUGAUGCAGCGACGCCGCGUGAUUUAGAAGGCCUUCGGGUUGUAAAAAUCUUUUCUAUGGGAAGAAAAUGACAGUACCAUAGGAAUAAGGACCGGCUAAUUACGUGCCAGCAGCCGCGGUAAUACGUAAGGUCCGAGCGUUGUCCGGAAUCAUUGGGCGUAAAGGGUACGUAGGCGGGUAAGCAAGUUAGAAGUGAAAUCCUAUAGCUCAACUAUAGUAAGCUUUUAAAACUGCUCAUCUUGAGGUAUGGAAGGGAAAGUGGAAUUCCUGGUGUAGAGGUGAAAUGCGCAGAUAUUAGGAGGAAUACCGGUGGCGAAGGCGACUUUCUGGCCAUAACCUGACGCUGAGGUACGAAAGCGUGGGUAGCAAACAGG